ACGAAUACUUUUUAUCUUGAUUUGUUAUAAGUAAACAGCUUUUCUUAGCCUAAUUCACUUUUAGUAGCCUAGCUUAAUUACUUUCGAGUUUUCACGUCCUCUUAUGUAGACUUAUGUAGACUUAUGAUGAAGGUCAAGAUGAGAGUUCUCUGUUUGUUUCUGUCGUUGAUCUGCGUUAUCAGGACCGAAGAACAGCUGGCGGUGACUGGUGCAGACGUGCCCGUAUUUGCAUAUUUGGGUGAAGAUGUGAUUCUGAACUGCUCAGUGGACACCCAUGUUCCUCUCGGAGAGUUAGAAGUCGAGUGGAUAAAGACAAAUGAAGAAAUCCAGGUGCUGCUGUUUAUGGAGGGGCGGUACAGAGCGGAGUCACAGCCUGAGAGAUUCAGAGGGCGUGCUGAGUUCUUCAGUGAGGAGAUUCCCAAAGGCAACUUCUCUCUGAAACUGAGGGAUGUAAAAACUGAAGACAGAGGGGAAUUCAUGUGCAGAGUCCAUACAGACAGAAAAUCAGUCAAUGCAACGGCUUGGCUACAAAAACAGGGUUUUCCCUCCUCACAUGUGUGCGUCCUGGGUUUCACCAUGGCUGCUGCAGUGUUUGCAGUUGUAAGCAGCAUUCCUGCUGUUUGCUGCAUAAAAAAAGCACAAAAAGAAAAACGAAAGGAAGUUAAAAGCAAGGGGGUUGUGUUGCUAUAUCACCUUCAAGUUUCCAUUCCAUGCAUCUUGUUAACCAUCGCCUUUGCCAUAUGGGGUAAAAUUGAAAGCUCUGUUGGAGAGGCCUAUGUUUGCAGUAUUAUACACUUUGUGAGGAUCCUAGUGAUAUUUAAGGUGGCUCCAUAUGUACUUCCUGGUACACGUUAUGAGAGAUUAACAAACAUGGCACUGCCUUUGGAGUCGUUUCUCAUUAUAAUAGGGAUAAAUUCUGGGUUCAUGCAUUCCUCGGGGUAUGAGUACCAAUCUAUUUUAUUGCAACUGGAAAUUUUGUUUCUGCUUUUCACACUUUCUACAUUCGGUUUUACAGCAGUGUUCCUGUUAUGGAUGAUGAUCCCGAGUGUGAGGCGAACACUGUCUUUUUGGCAGUCAGAUCUGAACAGGAAAAAAUAUGGAUAUUUCAUUGAGAAAGUCAUUGAAGUGCUUAAGGACAUUCUUAGAAGUAUAUUCUACCUUCUAUUUCUGCACAUCCUUUUAGAAAAGGAUAAACAACAACGUGCACUGGUGUGUUUGGUGGCGUUCCUCUCCAUCCUGAAUGCAGUAGUGCGUUUUAAUCACAGGAUUAAUCUACCUGAUAUAGCUCAUAUCCUAGUGUACGUGUUUGGUUCUGCUGUCCUAAGUGUCCUUAAUUCAGUUGCUCUAGCAACAGAAGUGUUUCUGAAAGCAGAAAAUGGGAAGCGAACUGUGGAAGAUCUUCGAGUGAUCGUCUUGCCUCUUGAAUCUUUAUUUUUGGCCUUUUGGCUUUGUUUACAGGUGUAUGCCUUCUGUAAGUAUCUCUUGGAAACAUUACUAAGACUUAGUACAUUUCAAAUAUCCAUGGUACUCACAUCAUCCCUUAAAAUUGAAAGGAACAUUAUGCAUGUGUUGAUGCAAUUUUGUUACAAUUUGCUAAAUUAUGACCUUCUCUGUUACUUUCUGGAAUACAGGUGUGCAGGAUAAAAAAAUAACAGAACAGCUGAGUCAACUUUUCCAGAGCUGCAAAAAGCAACUCCGAUGUCCAGCAUCAUCUCAGCAAAAUCAGGAAGCUGUAGAGGUGGACCCUCUCUCUCCACCUGAGCAGAGUACAGCACACAGACAGGAGGUAUUUAUCUAUGAGUCAGUCUGUCCACAAGGGGGCAUUUUCUGCAGUCCUAAAGAUGGCAACUUGCACAGUUUCUAGUGUAGAAAACAGUGAAGAAGAUACAUUUGCAAAACAUAAUGGGAAAUAGAGUACAAAGAUCAGAUGUUAUUGUUCAAUACACAAAGUUCAAUACUGAAGGAUCUUGAAAGAUUCUGUGGGGAAAAAUUCCCCCCAUACAGUAUAUUUAACAAUCUCAUAACCAUCUCAUAACCAUCUCAUAAUCAUCCCAUAACCAUCUCAUACUGCAGUAGAGACUCAUUAGUGUUAUCCUUAUGAAGCCAUGGUCCGAAAAGUACUGAGAAAAAGUGUGAAUAUUAACAGCACUUAUUCCUUGGGCAAUACAUUUGAAAAUUGAGUGUUGGUGGAUUUUGUUUAUUAAACUACUAAAAUUUGAAUAUGUUUGAAAUCUGGGAAUGAAAAUAAGUCAAAUCAAAGUGUACAUGUGUGCAUCUCUUUGAAUGUUCAGAUAUUCCGUAGUAACUUCACGUGUAGGUUUCCAAAAUGAAGUUCUCACAUGUACAGUUCUGUUAAAAAAAAAUAGCAGUACAACAUCAGUAACCUGAUGAACCACUGUUAUUAGUGAUAUUUCUGCAUGGCAAACAUUUACUUGUAGAUGUAGUAGUGUAAUAGAAAAACAACAGACCCAACUGUCAUGACAUGCAUGCUGCUUGUUCUGAGUAAUUGAUUCAUUCAUUGAAAAGGGCGUGUUCAAAAUAAUAGCAGUGUGAAUUAAUUAGAGAAUGAAUUCAUUCUGUGAAAAAACAGGUGUCAUUAAUUGUCCUUUAUUAAGGAAGAAGGGAAACAAAUGUUUCACACAUUGUUAUAUAUUUCCUUCUGAAUUGAAAUGGACCGUUCCAAACAUUGUUUGGAGGAACAACGUCAUUUGAUUAAAAAGUUGAUUGGAGAGGGGGAAACGUAUAAAGAAGUGCAGCAUUAUUAUAGGAUGCUCAGCUAAAAUGAUCUCAAAUGCUUUAAAAUGGCAACAAAAACCCGAAACACGCAGAACAACAUUAGCAACUACUGUUAAAACGGUCAGAAUGGCAAAGAUUCAGCCAUUCACCAGCUCCAGAAAUAUCAAAGAUCAUCUACAAUUACCCAUAAAUGCUGUUACAGUCAGAAGAUGUUUGAUCGAAGCUAAACUAUCAGCAAGAAGCCCCCAUAAAGCACCAUUGUUGAAAAAACGGCAUGUCCAGAAUCGGUUCAAAUUUGCCAAGGAACACAUCGAUUGGCCCAAAGAGAAAUGGCGUAACAUUCUGUACACUGAUGAGAGUAAAAUGGUUCUUUUCGGGUCUAGUGGUCAUCGACAGUACGUCAGAUGACCCCCGGGUACUGAAUUCAAGCCACUGUACACUGAAGACCGUAAAGCAUGGUGGCGCAAAAAUCAUGGUAUGGGGAUGUUUUUAAUACUACAGUGUUGGGUUCGUAUACCAGGGAUCAUGGAUCAGUUUGAAUACAUCAAAAUACUUGAAGAGAUGAUGUUGCCGUAUGCCAAAGAGGAAAUAACCCUGAAAUGGGUGUUUCAACAAGGCAACAACCCCAAACACACAAGUAGGCGAGCAACAUCUUGGUUCCAGACUAAAAGGAUUGAGGUAAUGAAGUGGCCAACUCAAUCCCCUGGCCUCAACCCCAUUGAAAACUUCUGGGGUGACAUUAAAAAUGCAGUUUUUGAAGCAAAACCCAAAAAUUCACAGGAACUGUGGAAUGCAGUUCGGCUGAAAUACCUGUUUCUAGGUGCCAGAAGUUGGUUGACUUGAUGCAACGCAGAUGCGCAACAGUUAUCAAAAAUAAUGGUUAUUCAACUAAAUAUUAGUCCAGUAAUUUAAAGUGAAGUUAAAUCUUGAAAAAUGUCUUCAGUUUAUACAGUAAGUGUUUGAGUUUGAAGAGAAAAAUGUCAACUCUGCCAUUUUUUUGAACUGACUAAUAUUCCUUUUCUUUGCUUCCUGUAAAAGAAUAACGCAGACUUGAUAAAAUUUGGUAAUGCUUUGAUUUGGAAUUGAAUGUGUAAUGUUUCCACUACAUUUGAAAUAUGGAACUAAAUGCUAUAAAAAAAUAUUUGCACUUUAUUCACUUUUUUUAAAUACACCGCAAUUUAUUUGAACACAACUCUAAGUGAUGCGUUUCAUGUAUAAAUUCAACAUAAUUUCUCUGUGUAGACACCACAGGAAGCUGAAGAGACAGUACCCCUCUCUCCAUCGGCAGAGAAUAUCACACACACAGGAGUUUUAUAGGGAAUAUGAAGAUGGGUGUCUCAGUGAGGUGUAAAGGAUCCUUUCUUGUCGAAAUAAGGACAUACUUUUCCGCCAAAUUCCGAGGACCCACAGUACACUUUGCAGUAUUGUGCUUUUCUAAUUGGUACACUGAAUUAUGACAUCAUUCAUAAAAUAUCAGUUCUCCCUUUCCUUGCUAAUACUGCUCCAUGCCGAAAACAUGUUCCUGCUUUGUUUGAAGCCAGGGUUAUCAUGGAUGCUUGUAUUUCUACUGCUUCUUUCUGUUUUACAGAGCUCAUAAAGUCAGCUGAGAGGAAAGCUGCACUUGAAUGGUGCAUUAUGACAGAGUUAUGUUAAUAAAUUGAUGUUACUUGUUUUGUAUUUGUAUUGCGUGAUUAAAAAAAAGAAUUUGCUACAAAAAAUGAAAUAGAAUACUUUAAAAAAUAAAUGAAUGUUGCUUGAAUGUAUUUGUAGGGGUUUUAGACGGUGAAGGUUGAUACUGGGUGGUGGCAAAAGCAAAGCAAAUCUGACAUUAUGUUCGGCUCUGAGAUUAGUACAGAAGUUACGAUGCAAGUUUGGAUCAUCAUUAGAGAUUAUUAAUUAUCAUAGGCCAUGCCUGACAAACCUUUUGGCAUUGUUUGAGCAGGCCACCAAGUGUUUUGAUGUUAGCAGGGUUUAGGGCAUUAUACACUCAGUGAGCACUAGGUAUGUAUUCACUUUUAUUUUAGACUUAAGUCUUCUGCUGCUGUAGCCUAUCCACUUUAUACAGGCAUCAGAGAUGUUUUUUUUGUUUUUCGCACCAUUCUCUGUAAACUUUAGAGACUGCAGAUCAACAGUUUGAGAUACUCAAACCACCCUGUCUGGCACUAACAAUCAUUCCACGGUCAAGGUCACUUAGAUCAUAUUUUUUUCCCCUUUCUGAUGGUUGAUGUGAACAUUAACUGAAGCUCCUGUCCCGUAUCUGCCUGAUUGUAUGCAUUGCACUGCUGCCACACGAUUGGCUGAUUAGAUACUCACAUGAAUAAGUAGGUGUACAGAUUUCCAAAAAGCAUUUGAUUUGUUCUAUAGCUGCUGUAUGUGUGUACCAAGGGUCACCUCCAUCUUGAAUUGGCGGCAAUUUUUGAAUAUUAUUACCAAUUUUCCUCUUUCUACAUUUGGCCUAAUUACAGAAGCGAUUCUUACAAAAUCUCCCCCAUAGCUCUCAAACCCCCAAACAGUGGCAAGAAAAAAAACUCCCCGAUGGGAGAAAUCUCAAGAGGAACCCGGCUACCGGGGGGUGCCCGUCCUCCACUGGCCGAUAAGUUGAGUUGGUCACAGUUGAGGUCGCCUCUUAAACUAGCAGAGAGUCUACAUGAAGGGAUAUAAAGUAUGCAGUUGAGAGGGCUGGAGGGUACCGCAUGGGGAUGUACCAGGGGAACAGGGUGCCGGAAUAUGCCUGCGACAUUAUUCCAUAAAAUAGGAGUCCUUGUAAGAGAAGGCUCUGGACUUUUAACCCUCCUAUUACGUUAAGAUUUUAUGACCGGUUUUGUGGUCAAAUUGAGAAUUAUAAUUUUUCUAAUUUCAUGACUUUACAAUUGAUUGAAUUUUAAUGAGACCUCAAAAUUCUAACUUUCUAGGAUGAAUUAUUCAUAGACUUAACAUGGGGAGACACAAUGCUAAUGCUAUGAAUGAGGAUAAUUUGAAUGGACAUGAGGCCGUUAUGUUCCACAACGUUAUCGCGUGCGGAAGGUUCUAGCCAUAUCUCCUGGCUUUGCACGCACAAAUUAUUUGUGGGGUUAUUUAUGUUUUUUUAUUUUAUUGUUUCACGUGCAAAAAAAUAAAAUAAGAUAAAUACUAUGCAUUACUAGUCUACUAAGGCUAAACAUAAAUGAAUAGGCUAUAGGUUAAUGAAUAGGAUAUAGGCUAUGCAGCGGCCUGUAGCGUAGUGGUUAAGGUAAAUGACUGGGACACGUGAGGUCGGUGGUUCUAAUCCCGGUCUAGCCACAAUAUGAUCAUGCAGCCAUUGGGCCCUUGAGCAGGGCCCUUGAGCAAGGCCCUUAAACCUGCAUUGCACCAGGGGAGGACUGUCUCCUGCGUAGUCUAAUCAACUGUAUGUCGCUCUGGAUAAGAGCAUCUGCCAAAUGCCAAUAAUGUAAUGUAAUGUAAUGAUAAGCAAAUAUACAGGAUGGCAUUAACAAUGAGAAAUAAAUAGGCUGUUGUCACUUUUGUCAUCAAGACCCUUCUCUGAGCUCACUUGCAAAAGUUAAGGCUAUUCAGUAGACAAAUGCUCUAAGCAAGCCACCAAACAAAAAUGCAUUAUGCAAACCCUUGGUUUUUUUCUUCCUCUAAGUUAACACAAAGGGCACAAUUGAGGCCCUUACUUUAGUGCGCUGUGCACUAAAACAGGCAGUGUGGUAAAAAUGUGUCAUGGAAUAAGGGCUAAGCAUAUGGAAUAUGGAAUGGAAUGUAUGUGUAGACUCAGAUUUUAGCACACAGAGCCUCAAAAUUGCACCAAUUCUGACUAAUCUGAAUGACAUAGGAUAUCAUACAUUACAUCAUAUAUUGUUACCAUAAGACAAUUAGAUGUUGUUUGACAAUAUUUAAGGCCAUUAAAGUCAUUGACUGUGUUCUGCAGAACAAGCUACAAGGUGUAGAGCAAUCCCUGCUGUGGUACACCAGCAUAAUACCAUUUUACAGGCUUGUUUCAAUCUGAGAAGAAGAAUAACAUGAAGUGACUGGAUAAGUAACACAGGCAUAACAGCUGGUGAGAAUGUGAUUUUGGACAAAGCAACAAAUAAGAAAUCUACCUAAUGUGGAUAACUAAUCUAAAUUAUUAUUCUAAAAUGGAGUCAGAUAAACAAAGGUGAAUCUAUUGGCCCUAUUGUGGAGAUUCUUGGUCAGCCCGGACCAGUAAAGAGCGGAAGGCAGAGUGGUACUCCUGUCUUUGUAUCAUGGUUUAUUUAUUGGCUGAUCUAGACUCUCCGCAUAGGGGCCACUAAUCUUUAACCCUAUUAGUAUUCUUUCAGCAACACCAGAAGGACGAGCACGCUGAUACCUUCAGCCCUCGCUAAAUUCCGUCGUUGGGUUAGCGUGGGGUUUUACAAUGCACUUACUGACUUUAAUAUACGCGUCGCUCUGACACGCCUAUUUAAAUCGCCUACAAUUGCUCACAAGCAAUAUCAAAUCAAAGCUAAGACUCAGAUGUAAUUGUGUUUAUUUAAUUGAUCAAAUAAGCAUAAUUACAAUUAUGUUCACAAGUAUAAUUCCUGGGGUUAUCAAUUCCAGCAUAGAUCAAAGUCAAACUCAAACUCAAACUUUACAUUUGUAAACAUUCCUGAAUACAUUUAAUCUCACAGGCAGGCUGUUCUCGGUGUAGAGCUGCUUUUCACUGCGUGUUGACUGGGGAGCAAAACUAACAAUUACUUUCAUUUUAGUUUUCUGACAGCUCUAUAGCUUACAUUGGUUCACUCCUGUAAAUCUUUAGGAUACACCUGCAGUCUGUGGCUGUAGCUGGUGCUUAUACAAAUGAGCAAGAUGCUGUAUGAUUGAGCUGGUUAAAUAAGUAACUAAUAACUAAGAGCAGAAGUUGCCACAAAGUCAUGGUUUUGCCCUUACUGUUCACCCAUCCCUGGUGCGGACAGUUUUGAGAGAGUGAGGACUGUCCUUGUGGGCCACCGUACUCUUGUGCCCAGUGAGUGGGGUGCAGUGAGGGGCUCUGCUGGGCUCUGUGUCUGAGUGAGAGCAGGGUGCAUGUUUUAUAUUAGGUGAUAGUACUCUUGUGCCCAGUGAGUGGGGUGCAGUGAGGGGCUCUGCUGUGCUCUGUGUGGCUGUGGGUGGAGGCUUCAUUUGAGAUAAGUGGCACCUGACCACAGACUACAGAGGAAGUUAAAAGACCCACACUUCUCCACAGAGUAGUCAGUGUAAUGUGUAGUUCCGCUCCGGUGAUGCAGCACUGCUCCUGUGGCUGAUGUUCAUGUGAAUGUUUCAAACUUGGGUUUAGCUUUGGCUGCUGCAUGGCUCUUUGUUCACAAAAACAGUUUUCCACAUUUCAGGAUGACCGCUUUUACUGCAUAUGACUUAUUGUACAGUGCUGUAUUAUUUAUUGCAUCUUUCACAUUUCACAGAAAUGAACUACAUGAAUGGAAGAUGUGAUGCAGGCAAAACAUGAAGGUCCUACAAUAAAAAAAAUCAUAACUUUAUUCAUAGAGAUGUAUUUGUAAAAUACAUCAACAUACACUCAUUGAGCACUUUAUUCGGUAUUUAUUAGACUUAUUUUUAGAGGAAUUGGUCUUCUGCAGAUGUUGUCUAUCCACUUAGAGUUACGAUGCCUUGUGUGUUCAGAGAUGCUCUUCUGCAUGCCACUGUUGUGAUGUGCAGUUACUUGUGUUACAGUCACCUUUCCUGUUGACUUGAAAUCAUCUGGCCUUUCUCCUCUGACCUCUUUCAAUAACAAGGUGUUUAAGCUCACAGGACUGCUGCUCAUUGGAUCUUUUUGUUUUCUGGCACCACACUCUGCAAACUCUAGUGACUGUUGUGCGGGUUUGGUAUGAACAACUGAACCUCUUGACCAUGUCUGCAUGCUUUUAUGCACAACGUUGCUUCCAGAUGAUUUGCUGAUUAGAUAUUUGCUGAUUUACAGGUUAACCUAAUAAAAUGCUGUGUAAUGUCUGA